AUUGAACGCUGGCGGCAGGCCUAACACAUGCAAGUCGAGCGGAUGAAGGGAGCUUGCUCCUGGAUUCAGCGGCGGACGGGUGAGUAAUGCCUAGGAAUCUGCCUGGUAGUGGGGGGUAACGUCCGGAAACGGGCGCUAAUACCGCAUACGUCCUGAGGGAGAAAGUGGGGGAUCUUCGGACCUCACGCUAUCAGAUGAGCCUAGGUCGGAUUAGCUAGUUGGUGGGGUAAAGGCCUACCAAGGCAACGAUCCGUAACUGGUCUGAGAGGAUGAUCAGUCACACUGGAACUGAGACACGGUCCAGACUCCUACGGGAGGCAGCAGUGGGGAAUAUUGGACAAUGGGCGAAAGCCUGAUCCAGCCAUGCCGCGUGUGUGAAGAAGGUCUUCUGAUUGUAAAGCACUUUAAGUUGGGAGGAAGGGCAGUAAGUUAAUACCUUGCUGUUUUGACGUUACCAACAGAAUAAGCACCGGCUAACUUCGUG
rnacentral:rRNA from 1 species